GGCGGCUCGGGCGGGCGGCGCUGAGAGGAGCCGACGGCGGGGACGUGCGCACCUGGUUAGGUUCGUGGCCACUUGUUUUGGACUGACAUUUUAGAUAGUGGGGCUACGUCACAUUCCUGCCCUUGGGUAGGAGUCAUGACACUGGGAUGUGAAUGACCCAAGCAAGAAGAGUGAGGAAAUAUUCGGCUGGUAAUUCUCCCCUGAAGACUGAGGUAGGAACCCAGGAGGCUGCUCUGCAUCCAUUAGGAUUGAAUCGUGAGAAUUCUUCCUACGCUCUUCCCCUUCAGACCAAAAGAAACUUGACAUCAUCAUCACCGUCAUCAUCCCCGGAAUUUAUUGAUAUCUCAUGGAACGAGGCACCAAAGAAAAUGGCAAAACAAGAAUCAAAAAGGCCCUUGGUGAUGGAGAAAAUAUCACUUUUUAUUUAAUGGCAAGCUCCAAGAGAAUAAACUUUAAGAGUUCACACAGUG